UUUAUUGUCUAUUUGGUUUUAUAGAUCAGUCUGUUGGGUGCAUAAAUUUCCUCUUAUCUUCCUCACCCUCGUGUGACCAUCUUCCGAUUGAUUGCAGACUCCAUUGAAGCUAGACCUGCUUCCUACAGAAGCUAGAAUAAGCGGCAAGGAAUACAAGGAGAGAGUUGUUAACAAUCUCAAGAUUUUAAUUGUGCAUUACUCGGUGCACCAGUCACAUUCUAAAGCAGUGAAGAGAGCCAUCAGUGAACAUUGUGGUGUAUGGACAAUCUCAAUGCUUAGUUACUUUUACUGUUUCCAGUGCAUUGGUAUAAGUUUGCUGAUCUGCUAUACUAAUUUGCUAUUCUUCUGGUGCUGCUGCGAUGUUGCUGCUGUUGUUGAGAUGCUGUGGUGAUGCUGCUGUGAUGGUGAUUGUUACGAUGAGGUGCUGCGGUGUUGUUGUUGGAUGUUUGCUGGUGUUGUUGAUGUUUGGAAGGGUGUAGGACUUUUUGUCCAAUCUGUAAUAGAUUAGGUUUUCAUUAAUGGGGGUUGUCAUUAGGUGUAAGUUCGGGCAACUGCUGGUGUUUUGGCUGGAAGGGUAUGGAGGGGGUAUUUUGUGUGAUUUCAUAUCACUGUUAUUAGUUUGUUAUAGUGGUGCCUGAGGGAUGCCUCUUGUAAAACUGUAAAUUUUUUAAAAAAUUAUAAAUGAGUUUCAAUUA